GCGCUCUUGCCUUCGGGGGCGGGUCGCUGGGCCCUGCGGUGGACCGUCCGGUCUUUGCAGAGCAGGUUGUCAGAGUACAAGUCUUCGAAGAAUAUGGAGAGUUGCUCCCUUAAUAAAUUGUGGAUCUCGGAUGGAAAGAAUACUUUUGGAGAAAGGGUUAGGUGUAUGAAAGACAGAGAAUAUGAAACUUCCCUCACCCAACUGUGAACAUGAAGUGGCUUUCCACAGAUCUCUUUUCAGAGGGUGUCCCAUUUUUAACC